GACUCUGUGGCGCAAUGGAGAGCGCGUUGGACUUCUAAUUCAAAGGUUGUGGGUUCGAGUCCCGCCAGAGUUG
rnacentral:tRNA from 1 species